GACGAACGCUGGCGGCGUGCUUAACACAUGCAAGUCGAACGGAAAGGCCCUGCUUUUGUGGGGUGCUCGAGUGGCGAACGGGUGAGUAACACGUGAGUAACCUGCCCUUGACUUUGGGAUAACUUCAGGAAACUGGGGCUAAUACCGGAUAGGAGCUCCUGCUGCAUGGUGGGGGUUGGAAAGUUUCGGCGGUUGGGGAUGGACUCGCGGCUUAUCAGCUUGUUGGUGGGGUAGUGGCUUACCAAGGCUUUGACGGGUAGCCGGCCUGAGAGGGUGACCGGCAACAUUGGGGCGGAGAUGCGGCCGAGACUACUACGGGAGGAAGCAGUGGGGAAUAUUGCACAAGGGGCGGAGGCCGGAUGAAGCAACGCGGCGGGGGGGAUGAGGGCAUUCGGGGUGUAAACAGCUUUUGCCUGUGACGAAGAGUGUGAGACGACAAGGGGUAAAGAAGCCGCGGCUAACCACG
rnacentral:rRNA from 1 species